rnacentral:rRNA from 1 species
AUUGAACGCUGGCGGCAGGCCUAACACAUGCAAGUCGAGCGGAUGAAGGGAGCUUGCUCCUGGAUUCAGCGGCGGACGGGUGAGUAAUGCCUAGGAAUCUGCCUGGUAGUGGGGGAUAACGUCCGGAAACGGGCGCUAAUACCGCAUACGUCCUGAGGGAGAAAGUGGGGGAGCUUCGGACCUCACGCUAUCAGAUGAGCCUAGGUCGGAUUAGCUAGUUGGUGGGGUAAAGGCCUACCAAGGCGACGAUCCGUAACUGGUCUGAGAGGAUGAUCAGUCACACUGGAACUUAGACACGGUCCAGAGUCCUACGGGAGGCAGCAGUGGGGAAUAUUGGACAGAGGGCGAAAGCCUGAUCCAGCCAUGCCGCGUGUGUGAAGAAGGUCUUCGGAUUGUAAAGCACUUUAAGUUGGGAGGAAGGGCAGUAAGUUAAUACCUUGCUGUUUUGACGUUACCAACAGAAUAAGCACCGGCUAACUUCGUG